GACACGACUCUCGGCAAUGGAUAUCUCGGCUCUCGCAUCGAUGAAGAGCGCAGCGAAAUGCGAUACU
rnacentral:rRNA from 23 species